AUACAUAUGUCCCGAGUGUUACCCGGAAUAAUUGGGUGUAAAGGGUUCGUAGGCGGAUAAGAAAGUUGGACAUGAAAGACCGAAGCUCAACUUCGUGUUUGUAUCCAAAACUCCUUGUCUAGAAUUAGGGAGAGGUAAGCGGAAUUCUAAGUGUAGGCGUGCAAUCCGUAGAUACUUAGAGGAACACCAAAAGCGAAGGCAGCUUACUGGAACUAUAUUGACGCUGAGGAACGAAAGCGUGGGUAGCGAAAAGGAUUAGAAACCCCAGUAGUCC
rnacentral:rRNA from 1 species